rnacentral:lncRNA from 1 species
UAUGAUCUAAACUUUCAAUCCAACAGUGGAUUUUGUAAAAUUCGUAUUCGUUAUAAUGUUAUUCGUGACUGGUCCACCAUGGAUCACUUGAUAAAGUGGUUCAUAUUAGAAUUUACCUUAAAAUGAGCUUGUGCUUGAUGCUUAUAAGUUAUAACUAAACAACCAAAGUUAACCAAUUAUGUUAUGCACACAAUAAGUUAAUUUUUGCUCUUUGCACACAAUAGUGCUUGAUUGAGAACCAAAGUUAACAAAAAAAAAAUGUGAUAAAGACUCAACACACCCACAGUCAAGACUACAAAAUUGAAACCCAACAUUCAAAAUUCCUCUCCUUAUUAAAUUGUCCUUCGUUGGCAGUCGAUCCGCCAAAAAAUACCAAGCAAAAAUGGAAACCUUCAAAGCGACAUUUUUGGUCUAAAGAAAAUUAGCAUGUUCCUCGUCGGUAGCGCCCUCUUCCACUAUGCUCGUCAAAGACAAAUAAGCUUCCUUGACAGAAAAAGACUCAGAAUUUGCAGUUCUCCAUAACCACCUGUCAAAAGCAUUGUUCUGCAAAAAAAAUGCUAUGAAACAAAAAGCACAACACUCUUCUAAUAAUUUCUCCUCCCAAGCAAACAACCGCCGUCUCCAGCUCCAACCCGCCCCUCCAACACCCUACCCCUUACGAUUUCUAUUAUUAUUUGUUCCACGAUUCUUGCUAGUCUUCACAACAAUAAAACAAUAGCAAGUUAAAAACUAAGAUAUCUUCAUUUUAUCUUGCUAUUGUUUUCUCCUUUUGUUUAUCUUGCACUUGCUCUCUUAACUCUUCUCCUUGUUUUUUUCUUCUUUUCUCUUUUACUUUAUUUUCUUUUCUUUCUUUGGUUUACCUAUCAUAUGAGCAAGUAGCAACCAUUAAAAGAUAGUAAUAUAUUUUCUUAUAUAUGUUAGCAUUAUUUAAUUGCAACAAUAAACAAAGAACCAUGAUCCACAAAACAAAUUUUGCAUAAAUUGUUUUGGCACAAAGCAAAGAAACUCUAAUCGGCGAGGAAUCAAUACAUGCACGUAAGAUUUGUUAAUUAGGAGCAUGACAAUAAAAAGUUGGAACUAGUUGAGAAAUUUGUAGGUAUGCAUUAACAAAGGAAAUGAUCAUGUGAUCAAAGUCAACCAUAACCAAAGAAUUUGAAGUUCAAAGCCUAUCAACCAGAAGAUCUAAUCAUAAUUGGUGAAACUAGUGGCAGAGGCAAAACUAUGUCAUCUUUUAAG